rnacentral:rRNA from 1 species
UAGGGAGCAAGCGUUAUCCGGAAUUAUUGGGUGUAAAGGGUGCGUAGACGGGAAUACAAGUUGGUUGUGAAAGCCCUCGGCUCAACUGAGGAACUGCAACCAAAACUAUAUUUCUUGAGUGCAGGAGAGGAAAGCGGAAUUCCUAGUGUAGCGGUGAAAUGCGUAGAUAUUAGGAGGAACACCAGUGGCGAAGGCGGCUUUCUGGACUGUAACUGACGUUGAGGCACGAAAGUGUGGGGAGCAAA